GCCCCAACCUUAAGUGCUAUCAAUGAAAUUGUAACAAUCCAAAGAAGAUUAGCAUGGCCCAUCCUCAAGGAUGACACGCAUAAAACAUAUGAUCAUUGAUU